rnacentral:rRNA from 1 species
AUCGCAGUCCAUGCUGUAAGGUACUUUAAUUUAUAAUUGAAGUGCUGCUUGGACUACAUAUGGUUGAGGGUUGUAAGACUAUGCUAAACAAGUUGCUUAUUUUCUUUUAAAAUAUAAAAGAAAAAAGCACAUGUUGUAUUACUGGAUAUUUUAUUCAUAAUACUAAUAGCUAAAGAUACAAAACCUCUCAAUGAAUAAAAUCAGAGUAUUUUAAUAAUAUGUUUAAAUAUUCUUUUUUUAUUGAGGAAGGUCUAGCAUAAAAAUUUAUGAAACUARAAUUGCCUCUUUAAUAUAAAGAAUCUCAUUUWUGUGGAUAUAAAGAAAARAUUUUAUUC